AUGUCUGUAUGUUACUGUGUAUUGGUAUGUUGCUGUGUAUGGUGAUCAUGGAAUGUUUUUGUGGAAAAUGCACAAGCCGAUUCCAGAAUAUGAUUGACAAAAUGCAGAAGGAAAGAGACCAAUCCCGCAAGGACUAUGACCAACUACAGGGGGAAAUGUGUAAGUUUCCCAAAUCUCUCCCUCCU